rnacentral:rRNA from 1 species
UACAGAGGGUGCGAGCGUUAAUCGGAAUUACUGGGCGUAAAGCGCACGUAGGCGGCUUGGUAUGUCGGGUGUGAAAUCCCCGGGCUCACCUGGGAACUGCAUCCGAAACUGCCUUGCUAGAGUAUGGGAGAGGGAAGUGGAAUUUCCGGUGUAGCGGUGAAAUGCGUAGAUAUCGGAAGGAACAUCAGUGGCGAAGGCGACUUCCUGGACCAAUACUGACGCUCAGGUGCGAAAGCGUGGGGAGCAAACAGG